AAAAAGGGCUUCUGCCGUGAUUGGCACAGGAGGGGUGGGGAAAUCCAAUCCUCCUGCGGAAUCGCCAUCAAGAGAUUUCGGAAGCACAAUUUUUAAAAUAGGGGCUGCUAGUGAUCGUUUGUCCUGGCGCCCCG
ensembl:snRNA